rnacentral:rRNA from 1 species
AUAUAAAUAAGCGGAGGAAAAGAAACCAAAAGGGAUUCCCUGAGUAAUGGCGAACGAAAGGGGAUGAGCUCAGCGCUAAGUCUCACCGUCUUCUGGCGUGUGAGAGAUGCAGCGUGCAUGUAGCAGUGCAUCCCGUGCGUCGGGCAGUGCAAGUUCCUUUGAAAAGGGCUUUUCCAGAGUGGGUGACAGGCCCAUAGCGCUGCCGCCUGA